rnacentral:rRNA from 1 species
AGUAGUUUCGAUCCUGGCUCAAGGACGAAGCUGGCGGCGUGCUUAACACAUGCAAGUCGAACGGAGUACCUCGAAAGAGAUUUCGGUCAAUGGAGAGGACUACUUAGUGGCGGACGGGUGAGUAACGCGUGAGGAACCUGCCUUUCAGAGGGGGACAACAGUUGGAAACGACUGCUAAUACCGCAUAACGUACGGGUAUCGCAUGGUACUGGUACCAAAGAUUUAUCGCUGAGAGAUGGCCUCGCGUCUGAUUAGCUAGUUGGUAGGGUAAACGGCCUACCAAGGCGACGAUCAGUAGCCGGACUGAGAGGUUGGCCGGCCACAUUGGGACUGAGAUACGGCCCAGACUCCUACGGGAGGCAGCAGUGGGGAAUAUUGGGCAAUGGGCGCAAGCCUGACCCAGCAACGCCGCGUGAAGGAAGAAGGCUUUCGGGUUGUAAACUUCUUUUGACAGGGAAGAGCAGAAGACGGUACCUGUCGAAUAAGCCACGGCUAACCACGUG